rnacentral:rRNA from 1 species
UACGUAGGCAGCGAGCGUUGUUCGGAAUUACUGGGCGUAAAGAGUGUGUAGGCGGUGCUCCCAGUCUGUUGUGAAAUCUCCCGGCUUAACUGGGAGGGUGCGCCGAAUACUGAGAGGCUAGAGUGUGGGAGAGGAAAGUGGAAUUCCUGGUGUAGCGGUGAAAUGCGUAGAUAUCAGGAGGAACACCGGUGGUGUAAACGGCUUUCUGGACCAUAACUGACGCUGAGGCACGAAAGCGUGGGGAGCGAACAGG